rnacentral:rRNA from 1 species
UACGUAGGGCGCAAGCGUUAUCCGGAAUUAUUGGGCGUAAAGAGCUCGUAGGCGGUUUGUCGCGUCUGCCGUGAAAGUCCGGGGCUCAACUCCGAUCUGCGGUGGGUACGGGCAGACUAGAGUGAUGUAGGGGAGACUGAAUUCCUGGUGUAGCGGUGAAAUGCGCAGAUAAUCAGGAGGAACACCGAUGGCGAAGGCAGGU